rnacentral:rRNA from 1 species
AGAAAUUGACGGUACCUGCAGAGAAAGCGCCGGCUAACUACGUGCCAGCAGCCGCGGUAAUACGUAGGGCGCGAGCGUUGUCCGGAAUUAUUGGGCGUAAAGAGCUUGUAGGCGGUUUGUCGCGUCUGCUGUGAAAGGCCGGGGCUUAACCCCGUGUAUUGCAGUGGGUACGGGCAGACUAGAGUGCAGUAGGGGAGACUGGAACUCCUGGUGUAGCGGUGGAAUGCGCAGAUAUCAGGAAGAACACCGAUGGCGAAGGCAGGUCUCUGGGCUGUAACUGACGCUGAGAAGCGAAAGCAUGGGGAGCGAACAGGAUUAGAUACCCUGGUAGUCCAUGCCGUAAACGUUGGGCACUAGGUGUGGGGGACAUUCCACGUUUUCCGCGCCGUAGCUAACGCAUUAAGUGCCCCGCUGGGGAUACGGCCGCAAGGCUAAAACUCAAAGGAUUGACGGGGCCCGCACAAGCGGCGGAGCAUGCGGAUUAAUUCGAUGCAACGCGAAGAACCUUACAGGGCUUGACAUUGAGUGAAAGAGCUAAGG